AGCUGACGCCAACUGAAGAAUGUUAACGGUCCUUCGAAUUCCUCCAUGUUUUUAAGAAAAACAUGUUAGCGUGGUCUCUUGUUCUAUAAAAGAGAAGCAAUAUUCACAAUUUGACAAAACAAAGUCUUGCCCUGAAACCGACUGUACUUCGUUUCCCCCAGGGAACACCAGAAUGAGGAACCUGUUGGCUGUUGUGUUGAUCGCUCUGGCGUUGACUGUUGCCCAGGCCAGAUACCCCAACCGUUAUCAUUACCCAACCUACGGACAACGACACAAUGAUGAUAAUGAACACCGAUAUGGGUAUGAUUACCCGCUCCCAAAAAAGCACUACCCACGCUAUCCUCGAAGGAACCAUUACUACAGUACUACAUACUAGUGCACGCCCCGACACAGAUCCUGGAAUCUCAUGGAAUCCUUGAGAGAUAAUGUAUGUUGAAGAUUGUCAGUGAAAUAAUAAACAACCAUAGAAUG
rnacentral:lncRNA from 1 species